rnacentral:rRNA from 1 species
GACGAACGCUGGCGGCGUGCCUAAUACAUGCAAGUAGAACGCUGAAGGAGGAGCUUGCUUCUCCGGAUGAGUUGCGAACGGGUGAGUAACGCGUAGGUAACCUGCCUGGUAGCGGGGGAUAACUAUUGGAAACGAUAGCUAAUACCGCAUAACAGUAGAUAUUGCAUGAUAUCUGCUUGAAAGGUGCAAUUGCAUCACUACCAGAUGGACCUGCGUUGUAUUAGCUAGUUGGUGGGGUAACGGCUCACCAAGGCGACGAUACAUAGCCGACCUGAGAGGGGGAUCCGCCACACUGGGACUGAGACAAGGCCCAGACUCCUACGGGAGGCAGCAGUAGGGAAUCUUCGGCAAUGGACGGAAGUCUGACCGAGCAACGCCGCGUGAGUGAAGAAGGUUCUCGGAUCGUAAAGCUCUGUUGUAAGAGAAGAACGAGUGUGAGAGUGGAAAGUUCACACUGUGACGGUAUCUUACCAGAAAGGGACGGCUAACUACGUG